rnacentral:rRNA from 1 species
GAUGAACGCUGGCGGCGUGCCUAAUACAUGCAAGUCGAGCGAAUGGAUUAAGAGCUUGCUCUUAUGAAGUUAGCGGCGGACGGGUGAGUAACACGUGGGUAACCUGCCCAUAAGCCUGGGAUAACUCCGGGAAACCGGGGCCAAUACCGGAUAACAUUUUGAACCGCAUGGUUCGAAAUUGAAAGGCGGCUUCGGCUGUCACUUAGGGAUGGACCCGCGUCGCAUUAGCUAGUUGGUGAGGUAACGGCUCACCAAGGCAACGAUGCGUAGCCGACCUGAGAGGGUGAUCGGCCACACUGGGACUGAGACACGGCCCAGACUCCUACGGGAGGCAGCAGUAGGGAAUCUUCCGCAAUGGACGAAAGUCUGACGGAGCAACGCCGCGUGAGUGAUGAAGGCCUUCGGGUCGUAAAACUCUGUUGUUAGGGAAGAACAAGUGCUAGUUGAAUAAGCUGGCACCUUGACGGUACCUAACCAGAAAGCCACGGCUAACUACGUGCCAGCCGCCGCAGUAA